UCCGUGCUAUUUUAUCAACCUUUCGAAUGUUGACUAAGCCUGUGGCUGCAUGUUAAUCACUCUGAAACGAUCACUAUUCUAAGCGUGAUGGAGGUUGGGCCUUAAGCUAGAAUAUAUAAUCACCAUAAUAAUUAUAUUAUCAGAAGAUUUCAAUUCCAGGGUAAAGGGAAAUAGUCACAGACACCUCUUAUUUAGACCGAGAACCUUUCGAUUCAUUUCGUAGACCCAGUGGUGUAACGCUUAUGUGCUCUCGUGCGGCGGUCCGCAGGGCCCCGACCCGUAUGGGCCCGGGGCCCAUACCCAUAGGGUCCUCGAUCCAGCACCCUGACCAAAAAGGGCUUUGCUGAUACAUAACAGCAUAAUGUGUCUGACGUCGACAGUAGGACAUCAUACCGUAUUAUUUCCAGUGGCUGAUUCAAUGGGGGGGGGGGGGCUAAAUUUGUCCUUUUUU